GUGGGGAAUAUUGGACAAUGGGCGCAAGCCUGAUCCAGCCAUGCCGCGUGAGUGAUGAAGGCCCUAGGGUUUUAAAGCUCUUUCACCGGAGAAGAUAAUGACGGUAUCCGGAGAAGAAGCCCCGGCUAACUUCGUGCCAGCAGCCGCGGUAAUACGAUGGGGGCUAGCGUUGUUCGGAAUUACUGGGCGUAAAGCGCACGUAGGCGGUCAUUUAAGUCAGGGGUGAAAUCCCGGGGCUCAACCCCGGAACUGCCUUUGAUAGUGUGUGUCUGGAGUAUGGAAGGGGUAAGUGGAAUUCCGGGUGUAUAGGUGAAAUUCGAAGAUAUUCGGAGGAACACAAGUGGCGAAGGCGGCUUACUGGUCCAUUACUGACGCUGAGUUGCGAAAGCGUGGGGAGCAAACAGGAUUAGAUACCCUGGUAGUCC
rnacentral:rRNA from 1 species